UGCUACUGGGAUAGCUCAGUUGGUAAAGCAUGAGACUCUUAAUCUCAGGGUUGUGGGUUUGAACCCCACAUUGGGCAA